UGCCCUUUGUACACACCGCCCGUCGCUACUACCGAUUGAAUGGCUCAGUGAGGCUUCCGGACUGGCCCAGGGAGGCCGGCAACGGCCACCCAGGGCCGGAAAGCUAUCCAAACUCGGUCAUUUAGAGGAAGUAAAAGUCGUAACAAGGUCUCCGUUGGUGAACCAGCGGAGGGAUCAUUA
rnacentral:rRNA from 6 species